CCGGAGCCUGCCGGGUACUGGGCACAGGGCUUCGUACGGCUCGGGAUCCUGGGACCGGUCAGGCUGUGGCACCCAGACUUGGUUGGGUACAUUGUCUUAACCUAGAAUCACCACCUGCUUUGUAAUUGUUGGACUCCGCAAAAAUCAGAAGACACUAACGGACGGCCAACCCAUCCCCAUGGUGCCCUGAGUGAAAACAAGUCAGCUUGGAUAUAUGAUGGACUAAAAUCUCACUACCUAAGCUCUAAGCAGUGAGAGGAACAGCCAUCAAAAUUUAUCUCCAACCACUUUAAUAAAUGUUUUAAGAAUGUUUUAAUGUUUAAGAAUGUUUUAAGAAACAUUUAUAAAAA